UACGUAGGGUGCAAGCGUUGUCCGGAAUUAUUGGGCGUAAAGAGCUCGUAGGCGGUUUGUCGCGUCUGCUGUGAAAACCCGAGGCUCAACCUCGGGCCUGCAGUGGGUACGGGCAGACUAGAGUGCGGUAGGGGAGACUGGAAUUCCUGGUGUAGCGGUGAAAUGCGCAGAUAUCAGGAGGAACACCGGUGGCGAAAGCACUCUGCUGGGCCGACACUGACACUGAGAGACGAAAGCUAGGGGAGCGAAUGGG
rnacentral:rRNA from 1 species